rnacentral:rRNA from 1 species
CUUAGUUAAUUCUGCUAGUAGUUAUAUACUUAUCUCAAAGAUUAAGCUAUAUAUAUCUAAGUAUAAGUAAUUAUAUAGCGAAACUAUAAAUAGCUUAUUAUAUAAGUUAUUAUUUAUUUAAUAAUACCCUACUAUUUAGAUAACUAUAGUAAUUCUAGAGCUAAUAUAUACUAAAAAUCUUAAUUUCGGAAGGGAUAUAUUUAUUAGAUUAAAAAUUAAUACCCUCCGGGGCUUAUUAGUAAUUUAUAAUAACUCCUUAAAUCAUAUAGCCUUAUACCGGCGAUAGUUUAUUUAAAUUUCUUCCCUAUUAACUUUCGAUAUUUAGGUAUUAGCUAAAUAUAGUUAUAAUAGGUAAUAAAGGGUUAGGGCUCGACCCCAGAGAAAGAGCCUAAGAAAUAGCUACUAUAUCUAAGGAAGGUAGUAGGCGCGUAAAUUACCUAAUCCCAAUAUAGGGAGGUAGUAAUAAUAAAUAUUAAUAUAGGGCUCUUUUAGGUCUUAUAAUUAGAAUAAGUAUAAUUUAAAUCCCUUAAUAAGGAAUAAUUAGAGGGUAAGUCUAGUGCUAGCAGCCGCGGUAAUUCCAGCUCUAAUAGCGUAUAUUAAAGUUAUUAUAGUUAAAAAGCUCAUAAUUAAACCUUAGGCCUAGCUAGCCGGUCUACCUCAUUACGUAUAUUAAUCCGGCCGGGCCUUUCCCUCUAUAAAACCUUAUACCCUUCACUAGGUAUAGCGGGGAAAUAGGACUUUUAUUAUAAAAAAAUUAAAGUACUUUAGGUAGGCCUAUACUCAAAUAUAUUAAUAUAGAAUAAUAGAAUAGGAUAUAUAGUUCUAUUUUAUUAGUUUCUAGGAUUACUAUAAUAAUUAAUAGGGAUAAUUAGGGGUAUUAAUAUUUAAUUAUUAGAGGUAAAAUUCUUAGGUUUAUUAAAGAUUAAUUAUUAUAAAAGUAUUUACUAAGGAUAUUUUUAUUAAUUAAGAAUAAAAGUUAGGGGAUUAAAGACGAUUAGAUACUAUCAUAGUCUUAACUAUAAAUUAUGCCGAUUAGGGAUUAAAUAGUAUUAUAUUUUAACCCGUUUAGUACCUUAUGAGAAAUUAAAGUGCUUAGGCUCUAGGGGGAGUAUAGUCGUAAGGCUAAAAUUUAAAGAAAUUAAUAGAAGGGUACUAUUAGGGGUAAAUUAUAAUGGUUUCUCGAAAGCUAUAGUUAAUUCUACUCUUAAAAGCCGCUUUAAUAAGUUAAUAGUAUUCCCUAGCUUAGGCCUAAAUUAAUAGCUAGUCUCCUCGGAGGCGAUAUCCUUAAAUUAUAGGAAACUCCUAAAGCUUAUAUUAUUAAAUAGGCCUCGAAAGAGAGCUCUAUAGCCGGGGUAAUGACCUAGGGUACGGUAAAAAUAUAUAAGAUAUUAUAGUAGACGAUCUAUAAUUAAGCCCCUAUAUACGCUAGUAUAUAGGGAAGGUUUAGAGACUUAAUGGGGGUAGGUAGGCUAUAGGCCUACCUAAGAUAAAGUCUAGCCCCGCGUGAAAGCGCUAGGGGUUAUAACUACUUCUAUAUUAUUUGAAAUACUAUAUUAAGGCCCUAGUAAAAUAGGAGCCUACGGCUUAAUUUAAUUUAAUAUAGGGAAACUUAUUAGGUCUAGAUAUAAUAAGGAUUAAUAGAUUAAGAGCUCUUUCUUAAUUUUAUAGGUAAUAAUAUAUAGCCGUUUUAGUUAAUAGAGUAAUUUAUCUACUUAAUUGCGAUAACGAAUAAGACCUUAACCUAUUAAAUAGCCUAUAUUACUUUAGU